GAUGAGCGCUGGCGGCGUGCCUAAUACAUGCAAGUCGAGCGAACGGACGAGAAGCUUGCUUCUCUGAUGUUAGCGGCGGACGGGUGAGUAACACGUGGAUAACCUACCUAUAAGACUGGGAUAACUUCGAGAAACCGGAGCUAAUACCGGAUGAUAUUUUGAACCGCAUGGUUCAAAAGUGAAAGACGGUCUUGCUGUCACUUAUAGAUGGAUCCGCGCUGCAUUAGCUAGUUGGUAAGGUAACGGCUUACCAAGGCAACGAUGCAUAGCCGACCUGAGAGGGUGAUCGGCCACACUGGAACUGAGACACGGUCCAGACUCCUACGGGAGGCAGCAGUAGGGAAUCUUCCGCAAUGGGCGAAAGCCUGACGGAGCAACGCCGCGUGAGUGAUGAAGGUCUUCGGAUCGUAAAACUCUGUUAUUAGGGAAGAACAUAUGUGUAAGUAACUGUGCACAUCUUGACGGUACCUAAUCAGAAAGCCACGGCUAACUACGUG
rnacentral:rRNA from 1 species